UCCGAUGAAAAGUUGGCAUUUUCAAGGGAUGUAAUAAAGUGCUUGGACUCCGAAACGAUGAGGUUGCAGAAAGGGGGAGGGAGGAAGAGAAGGAGGAAGGCCUGAACGAGUGUGAAGAAAAGGCGGAGACUUCCCAAAUACCGACCAUAAAAAUAACAUAGCGGGAGAUACCACUCAGAGUGGAGUUGUGAGAAGAUCAGUAGUUCCUCGUGCGUGCAUGUACAUGUAUUAUAAAUAUUAACACAUUUCUUGGAAUCUAAACAGUCUGUGGGGUAAAUCUAUCUUUCUCUGGCCCUUUUGCAAAAACACACACAUCAUUGCUUAUGCUUGGCUGUUUGGUAUGAAUGUGAGUGGAAUUUACCCAUAAUGCUGAAGCAGGAACUAGUAUAAACAAACAGACACAUAUAUUAUUAGGAAACUCUGAUAAGAAGGGAAGUGUUUAUCUCUGAUAAAAUACAUUUUACUGUCAAAAAUGAAUACUCUGAUUCUGUUCCAAACCUGUGUGAACUGUUUUUUGUCCACAGAUUACUAUUAAAUUCAAUAGGGUUCAGUCUUGUUUGGAUGCCACUGACUUUAUCGUUUGUGUUCUGCAGAAGAAAGUCACAGGUUUUGUUGUGACACGAGGGUGAAUAAUGCAAAAGCACAGAUAAGUAAUCCGAGUAUGGUUAUAAACAUGCAUUUAUUUUCCAUUCUGCAAGGAACUGAUAUUCUAUUUGAAUUUUAAUGUGUAACUAUUCAAAUGAAAAAUUAAGGAAGCUAAAGAGACUGGUCAUUGAAAACUUUCCAGGAUCUUCUUUAAUACUAGUAUAUAGUCUGGAUUUAUUUUAUAGUUCAGUUAACUUUCAUUGUAAUAGUUCUUCAAAAUAUCAGAUAGGAAUCCACUGAUAUAACCACACCUUUUCACAUCAGCACUAAUGAUUUAAAAAAUACUUUGAUUGUCAAAUAAAAACGUGGUUAUCUUUUAAUUGCACAAGCACUUUUGUACUUUUAUGAUUAAAAGUCUGCACUGUAAGUCAGAAAUCUUAUCGUGUCAAGCUCUAUUGGGUACACUCAGGACGUUUAUCAAGGCCUAUUGAUUUUUUUUCCACUUAGGCAUUUAAUGGUUUGUGAGUUACAACUUUUACUAUGUGUUAAUUACCCUCUAAUAUGAGGACGGAGAUCUGAUAAAAGCCUUUAGUUAAAUAGAGAGAAAAUUAAUUAAGAGAGUGGCUAAUCAAUUAAAUAAGUGGAAGCAUACAAGAAAUGCACAAUCUGCAAAAAAAAUUGUAUUGUAACCUUAAACAGAGGGGCAAUAUUAAUUAAAAAGAAUAUAUUUAAAAAAUAAAAUGUAAAUAUAAGAGUUGAACAUAUGUGUUGUGUGCAUUUUACUCCCUGAUUUUUCCAGUGAGGAAUGACCAGGAUUAAUCCAUAAAGAUUAUGAAAAAGACUUUGAUGAGGCAGAUGUUUUAACUGAUCAAAAGAGAAAGCAUAGAGUGACAUCCUGUACACAUUACACACACCUCAAGAUAAGCCUCAGACCUGUUUUUCUGAAAACAAGAGCAGUUGUGGCAUCUUCAUCUGUGUAUGUGAUUAUAUAUAUGACUGGAGGAAAAUCUUGUCUGCAGUAAAGGCCACAUUAAAAACCAUGCAUAUUUGAAUUACAUGCAGCCUGAGGCCAGAGAGAAUACCAAUGGCUUUAUACACACAAGAAUGCGAGGCACAUGUCUGGGUCCAUUUUGUAAAAAUAGUGCUCUUUAAUAUAAAUUAUGGAAAUAUCUUAUAAAUAUAAAUAUGUGCAAAGUUUCUUGCUGCAUUUUCUAUGUUAAUGCCUUUGUUUUCUGAUCUUCAAGCUUGCACUGCGGUCAUCAGACCAGACCUUAAGGUGAGACAUCUUUAUAAAAGACAGAGUAAAAAACAUGCUGUCCUGUUGGUGGCCACACAUGUAAACACCUUGAUUUGACAAAAUAUGAACAACAAAAAAAAAUGAAAAGAGUAAAAGAAUCUA